rnacentral:rRNA from 1 species
UACGUAGGUGGCAAGCGUUUGUCCGGAUUUACUGGGCGUAAAGGGCGUGCAGGCGGUUUGUUAAGUGCAGGGUGAAAGCUCCCGGCUCAACUGGGAGAGGUCCUUGCAUACUGGCAAACUCGAGGGAGGCAGAGGAAAGUGGAAUUCCCGGUGUAGUGGUGAUAUGCGUAGAUAUCGGGAGGAACACCUGUGGCGAAGGCGGCUUUCUGGGCCUUACCUGACGCUGAGACGGCGAAAAGCCGCGGGGGAGCGAACCGGG